AUUGAACGCUGGCGGCAUGCCUAACACAUGCAAGUCGAACGGAGAUAGGGGCAACCUUAUUUCAGUGGCGGACGGGGUGAGGAAUGCGUCGGAAUCUGCCCUAUGGUGGGGGAUAACACAGGGAAACUUGUGCUAAUACCGCAUAAUGUCGAGAGACCAAAGCAGGGGACCGCAAGGCCUUGCGCGAUAGGAUGAGCCGACGCCCGAUUAGCUUGUUGGUAGGGUAAUGGCCUACCAAGGCGACGAUCGGUAGCUGGUCUGAGAGGAUGAUCAGCCACACGUGGGACUGAGACACCGGCCCAGACU
rnacentral:rRNA from 1 species